UGAAGGAAGGGCAGGAGAUGACAGGAACUCCAGGAGCUUUACACCGUUGGGACAUUCUUCCUCUUCUACAUCUCCUCUCAGGCUGGCUGCCCACAAGCCAGAUCCAUGGCAACAAACAUCACUAGACUUUUAUUUUUAAAACCUCCAAACCAGAGAAGACAGCUCCUGCCCCUCUGAAGGAGUAAUUCUUUUUUGGAGGUACAUCUGUGGGUCUUCAGAAAACUGUGGCUUUAAGAUGUAGUCUAUUUUCCUCAGGAGCUUCCCAGUCCAAAUGUCACACAGAUAUGACAAAGAAUUCUGCAAUAUGUACUCCUCCUGCUCAUGGGUCCUGGGAGAUAUGUGCAUGAGUUUCUCUAGGGUACGUACCAAGCAGUGGAUCAACCACAUCGAAGGGUUUGUACGUCAUUUAAACUCCUGAGAGCACUGAAGAAAAGUUCACUCCACAUCCUCACCAUCACUUGGAUGUUCGAAGCCAUUAAAAUUUCAGUGUGGUUUUUGCUUUUUAA